GCCUGGGUGGCUCAGUCGGUUAAGUGUCUGACUUUGGCUCAGGUCAUGAUCUCACAGCUCGUGGGUUCGAACCCCGCAUUGGGCU
rnacentral:tRNA from 1 species